rnacentral:tRNA from 1 species
GCGCUCAUAGUUCAGUUCAGUAGAACGUGGGUUUCCAAAACCUAAUGUCUUAGGUUCAAAUCCGACAGAGUGUG